AAAGACUGUAAUCCUAAGAAAAUACAAUCUGUUCAACGACAUCAUUGAUAAUUAUAAAUAAUUCUAAUAAUUCAAAAUUCAACAUUUAUUUUAUUUCAACUCAAUUCUAGUAAAGAAUUCUAGUCAAGAUUAAAUUUAUAAAAUCAAUUCUAGUAAAGAAAUCUAACUUGAGAGCAGCAGAUCCAUCAAAAAGUGUACAUGGAUAUACUUUACAGCAAGUGGCCAAGAGGCUUGCCUAAUGCAUACAUUCUAGGAUAUUGGAUAUUGAAAAUGGUGAUGGUGUUGUUUGGUAUGAUUAUCCUCUUAUAAGAGAGAAACACCAUAGUCAAAGAUCUGGUCACCAUAGCCUGCACUGGAGUUGAAAAUAAUAUUAUAUCAUCAUUGAGGCACGUUCUUGUUGAACUUUUACUUCUUUUAAUGUUGUGAUAUUGAAUGAUUAUGCAUUAUGUUGGUGAUUGGGAAAUGCCCCUGUGUAUCUGGAAGUAUAGUUGCAGCAGAAUGUGGAACACCUACUUUCAUGAGAUCACAUGUUAUCUUCAAGUUUUAAAUUGCUUAAGAGAAAAGAAAAAUAUGAAGUUUGGGUAUUCUAAAAUUCACUAAUAAUAGAAGGAAACUCAAGAAUGGAAAAAAAAAGUAAAUUAACACAUCUUUCUAAGAACUUUUGAAACAAAGAGCUCAAAUGGAAAAGAAUUGGAGGUUUGAAUCAUUAAAGAUUCAAUUUGUU
rnacentral:lncRNA from 1 species